rnacentral:rRNA from 1 species
CAGUCGCCGCGGUAAUACGGAGGGUGCAAGCGUUAUCCGGAUUUAUUGGGUUUAAAGGGUCCGUAGGCGGACUUAUAAGUCAGUGGUGAAAGCCUGUCGCUUAACGAUAGAACUGCCAUUGAUACUGUAAGUCUUGAGUAUAUUUGAGGUAGCUGGAAUAAGUAGUGUAGCGGUGAAAUGCAUAGAUAUUACUUAGAACACCAAUUGCGAAGGCAGGUUACCAAGAUAUAACUGACGCUGAGGGACGAAAGCGUGGGUAGCGAACAGGAUUAGAGACCCCAGUAGUCCCUGUCUCUUAUAC